GAUGAACGCUAGCUACAGGCUUAACACAUGCAAGUCGAGGGGCAGCACAGUGUAGCAAUACACGGGUGGCGACCGGCGCACGGGUGCGUAACGCGUAUCCAACCUUCCCGUUACUCUUGGAUAGCCUUCCGAAAGGGAGAUUAAUACAAGAUGGUAUUCAAAUUCCGCAUGUUAUUUGAAUUAAAGAUUUAUCGGUAACGGAUGGGGAUGCGUGACAUUAGGUAGAUGGCGGGGUAACGGCCCACCAUGCCUACGAUGUCUAGGGGUUCUGAGAGGAAGGUCCCCCACACUGGAACUGAGACACGGUCCAGACUCCUACGGGAGCAGCAGUGAGGAAUAUUGGUCAAUGGUCGGAAGACUGAACCAGCCAAGUAGCGUGAAGGAUGAAGGUUCUAUGGAUUGUAAACUUCUUUUAUACGGGAAUAAACCACUACGUGUAGGUGCUUGUAUGUACCGUAUGAAUAAGCAUCGGCUAACUCCGUG
rnacentral:rRNA from 1 species